AACGAACGCUGGCGGCAUGCCUAACACAUGCAAGUCGAACGAAGGCUUCGGCCUUAGUGGCGCACGGGUGCGUAACGCGUGGGAAUCUGCCCUUAGGUUCGGAAUAACAGCUGGAAACGGCUGCUAAUACCGGAUGAUAUCGCGAGAUCAAAGAUUUAUCGCCUGAGGAUGAGCCCGCGUUGGAUUAGGUAGUUGAUGGGGUAAAGGCCUACCAAGCCGACGAUCCAUAGCUGGUCUGAGAGGAUGAUCAGCCACACUGGGACUGAGACACGGCCCAGACUCCUACGGGAGGCAGCAGUGGGGAAUAUUGGACAAUGGGCGAAAGCCUGAUCCAGCAAUGCCGCGUGAGUGAUGAAGGCCCUAGGGUUGUAAAGCUCUUUUACCCGGGAAGAUAAUGACUGUACCGGGGGAAUAAGCCCCGGCUAACUCCGUGCCAGCAGCCGCGGUAAUACGGAGGGGGCUAGCGUUGUUCGGAAUUACUGGGCGUAAAGCGCACGUAGGCGGCUUUGUAAGUCAGAGGUGAAAGCCUGGAGCUCAACUCCAGAACUGCCUUUGAGACUGCAUCGCUUGGAUCCAGGAGAGGUCAGUGGAAUUCCGAGUGUAGAGGUGAAAUUCGUAGAUAUUCGGAAGAACACCAGUGGCGAAGGCGGCUGACUGGACUGGUAUUGACGCUGAGGUGCGAAAGCGUGGGGAGCAAACA
rnacentral:rRNA from 1 species